UACGGAGGAUGCAAGCGUUAUCCGGAAUGAUUGGGCGUAAAGCGUCCGCAGGUGGCAAUGUAAGUCUGCUGUCAAAGCGUCUGGCUCAACCAGAUAAAAGCAGUGGAAACUACAUAGCUAGAGUAAGGUAGGGGUAGAGGGAAUUCCUGGUGUAGCGGUGAAAUGCGUAGAGAUCAGGAAGAGCACCGGUGGCGAAAGCGCUCUGCUGGACCUUAACUGACACUGAGGGACGAAAGCUAGGGGAGCGAAUGGG
rnacentral:rRNA from 1 species